UGCAGAGUGUUGAUGAUAUAAAAUAAACGUAGGAGUACACUCAAAUAGAAAAAGACAGUGCAUUCACUGGUUUAUUGGAGCAAUUGUAAAGUUUUGAAACUAUAUUAUCUCCCCUGAAUACAGUUUGCAGUGCCUUCUCAUGCAAAUACUUAGCUUGCUCGGAAGGAACAUUUGGAUUUUUUACGAACAUUAUUUUUAGUUUUUAAUUCUUUUAGAAAAUAGACUUGCCUAGAUUUAAUCUUUAUGCCCCAAUUAUUAUUUACAUCGGAG